GUCUACGACCAUGCCACCCUGAACGUGCCUGAUCUCGUCUGAUCUCGGAAGCUAAGCAGUGUUGGGCCUGGUUAGUACUUGGAUGGGAGACCACCUAGGAAUAACAAGUGCUGUAGGAA
rnacentral:rRNA from 1 species